GACGAACGCUGGCGGCGUGCUUAACACAUGCAAGUCGAACGGUAAAGGCUCCAGCUUGCUGGGGUACACGAGUGGCGAACGGGUGAGUAACACGUGGGUGACCUGCCCUGCACUUCGGGGUAAGCCUGGGAAACUGGGUCUAAUACCGGAUAGGACCGCACCGUGAGGGUGUGGUGGAAAGUUUUUUCGGUGUGGGAUGGGCCCGCGGCCUAUCAGCUUGUUGGUGGGGUAAUGGCCUACCAAGGCGGCGACGGGUAGCCGGCCUGAGAGGGUGGACGGCCACAUUGGGACUGAGACACGGCCCAGACUCCUACGGGAGGCAGCAGUGGGGAAUAUUGCACAAUGGGCGGAAGCCUGAUGCAGCGACGCCGCGUGGGGGAUGACGGCCUUCGGGUUGUAAACUCCUUUCACCAUCGACGAAGGGUUUCUGACGGUAGAUGGAGAAGAAGCACCGGCUAACUACGUGCCAGCAGCCGCGGUAAUACGUAGGGUGCGAGCGUUGUCCGGAAUUACUGGGCGUAAAGAGCUCGUAGGUGGUUUGUCGCGUCGUCUGUGAAAUUCCGGGGCUUAACUCCGGGCGUGCAGGCGAUACGGGCAUAACUUGAGUACUGUAGGGGAGACUGGAAUUCCUGGUGUAGCGGUGAAAUGCGCAGAUAUCAGGAGGAACACCGGUGGCGAAGGCGGGUCUCUGGGCAGUAACUGACGCUGAGGAGCGAAAGCAUGGGGAGCGAACAGG
rnacentral:rRNA from 1 species